GACGAACGCUGGCGGCGUGCUUAACACAUGCAAGUCGAACGGAAAGGCCCUGCUUUUGUGGGGUGCUCGAGUGGCGAACGGGUGAGUAACACGUGAGUAACCUGCCCUUGACUUUGGGAUAACUUCAGGAAACUGGGGCUAAUACCGGAUAGGAGCUCCUGCUGCAUGGUGGGGGUUGGAAAGUUUCGGCGGUUGGGGAUGGACUCGCGGCUUAUCAGCUUGUUGGUGGGGUAGUGGCUUACCAAGGCUUUGACGGGUAGCCGGCCUGAGAGGGUGACCGGCCACAUUGGGACUGGGAUACGGCCCAGCCUCCUACGGGAGGCAGCAGUGGGGAAUAUUGCACAAUGGGCGGAAGCCUGAUGCAGCAACGCCGCGUGCGGGAUGACGGCCUUCGGGUUGUAAACCGCUUUCGCCUGUGACGAAGCGUGAGUGACGGUAAUGGGUAAAGAAGCACCGGCUAACUACGUG
rnacentral:rRNA from 1 species